rnacentral:rRNA from 1 species
CGGCCGUGCCGGGUGCUUACACAUGCAGUCGAACGAUGAAGCCCAGCUUGCUGGGUGGAUUAGUGGCGAACGGGUGAGUAACACGUGAGUAACCUGCCCCCGACUUUGGGAUAAGCCCGGGAAACUGGGUCUAAUACCGGAUAUGACUUCCUGCCGCAUGGUGGGUUGUUGAAAGAUUUAUCGGUGGGGGAUGGACUCGCGGCCUAUCAGCUUGUUGGUGAGGUAAUGGCUCACCAAGGCGACGACGGGUAGCCGGCCUGAGAGGGUGACCGGCCACACUGGGACUGAGACACGGCCCAGACUCCUACGGGAGGCAGCAGUGGGGAAUAUUGCACAAUGGGCGGAAGCCUGAUGCAGCGACGCCGCGUGAGGGAUGACGGCCUUCGGGUUGUAAACCUCUUUCAGUAGGGAAGAAGCGAAAGUGACGGUACCUGCAGAAGAAGCGCCGGCUAACUACGUGCCAGCAGCCGCGGUAAUACGUAGGGCGCAAGCGUUAUCCGGAUUUAUUGGGCGUAAAGAGCUCGUAGGCGGUUUGUCGCGUCUGCCGUGAAAGUCCGAGGCUCAACCUCGGAUCUGCGGUGGGUACGGGCAGACUAGAGUGAUGUAGGGGAGACUGGAAUUCCUGGUGUAGCGGUGAAAUGCGCAGAUAUCAGGAGGAACACCGAUGGCGAAGGCAGGUCUCUGGGCAUUUACUGACGCUGAGGAGCGAAAGCAUGGGGAGCGAACAGGAUUAGAUACCCUGGUAGUCCAUGCCGUAAACGUUGGGCACUAGGUGUGGGGGACAUUCCACGUUUUCCGCGCCGUAGCUAACGCAUUAAGUGCCCCGCCUGGGGAGUACGGCCGCAAGGCUAAAACUCAAAGGAAUUGACGGGGGCCCGCACAAGCGGCGGAGCAUGCGGAUUAAUUCGAUGCAACGCGAAGAACCUUACCAAGGCUUGACAUGUGCCAGACCGCUCCAGAGAUGGGGUUUCCCUUCGGGGCUGGUUCACAGGUGGUGCAUGGUUGUCGUCAGCUCGUGUCGUGAGAUGUUGGGUUAAGUCCGCAACGAGCGCACCCUCGUUCCAUGUUGCCAGCACGUAGUGGUGGGGACUCAUGGGAGACUGCCGGGGUCAACUCG